UACGUAGGGUGCGAGCGUUAAUCGGAAUUACUGGGCGUAAAGCGUGCGCAGGCGGUUACUUAAGUCAGGUGUGAAAGCCCUGGGCUUAACCUAGGAAUUGCGCUUGAGACUGGGUAGCUUUGAGUGUGGCAGAGGGAGGUGGAAUUCCACGUGUAGCAGUGAAAUGCGUAGAGAUGUGGAGGAACACCGGUGGCGAAGGCGCACAUCUGGCCCGAUACUGACGCUGAGGCGCGAAAGCUAGGGGAGCAAACGGG
rnacentral:rRNA from 1 species